GGAUGUCACAACAGACAGGCCAGGCCAAGCCGAGACUGCCUUGACCUCAACACUGGAGGUUCUACAUGUGAUAAAACAAGGCCAAUAGUCUCAAACGCCUUCAUUCAGAAUGAAUCCUUCAAGCACCUACCUGCUGUGAGCAGGAAUAUGAAUGAGCUGUCAGUAAUUCAGCUUUGACCUACUUUUGGAUUGGAUUAUAUGUACUUGGAGUGAACCUAAAAAUCCUCCAAAGCGACCAAAGCACUCUUAUCCCAUCCACGUUCCUGUGAUUAUCUGCAUCAAAGCUGGAGCCUGGAGAGUCUUCAGCUGGAUAUCAUCUUUCUCAGUCCUUAUUUGUCCCCUCUGCCAGUAGGUGUUGGCUCUCUGUGGCUGGACCUCAUAAUGCAAAGCAAGAAAUCCUAUCAGAUAUUGCCUGGAAUUGUAAUGUUCCUCCUUGCCAGUGAAAGUCUAUCCCGUCCAUUGAUGCUGUCCCAGGGCCAAGAUUCCUUCGUCUUACGGAGGAAGCUAUUAAUAGAUCCCUUCAUUUGGUGGAGACUCUCACUUGAAUACUUGAAAACCCUCACUGGUAUCAUCAGGUCAGAAACACACCCAGCUGUCCGGCUCCUUCUGGUCUGAAAAAAAAAAGCUCAACAAGCUGAAGUCCUCCCUUAAUGGCGUCCCUGGAGAUCCUGCGGCUGAGCUGCAAAGGGGAGCAUCUUUCUCAUCUCUGCUUUUCCCACUGCCAUUAGGCAGCCUCGACCGCAACCCUACAUCCAACAGGCAAGGUCCUCGAAAUGAGUCCAGGAAAUUAUGUUCAAAAAUGAUGUUUCCUGCACUCCUCCUCCUGCACAGAUAUUCUGUAUACACAAGUUGGGAACUUUGACAUUAGGUCCCACAUCACUGGGGACCUGCUGGCCUCUUAGCCACAAAGAAACCAGGGCACGAGAGAGGCCUGACACACUUUUCAAAAAGGAUUUGGCCCGUCAACAGAACUUGAGUUAUAAAACACAACAAAACAAAAAACAUGGUUUUGGCUAAAAUGUUGUAGGCCAAGUUUUUUUUUGCUCAACAUUGUGUAAUUGUAUUACACUAACCUGAAAAAUACUGCCAUCUGACCUAUAGAGGAUAACAGCACAAAUAUGCAGACCUUGAAGCCCAUGACAUUUCAAUCCAGUCUAUAUAUGACUUGAUACUAACCAGGGGACAGAGUAGAUAUAUUUGGAAUAGAGGUUCACAGCCGCCAAAGUCCUUAAUGAAUGUUACUAUGAGCCCAACACUGUUUUCUACUAAAUGAUUUAUAUCAGAGGGAUAUUACACAGGUCUGUUCACUGGGCCGAAGGGUAGUGUAGCUGCACAUUUGUGCACAGGUACUCUAAACUAUGGAAGCCGAGAGCGUCUAUGCUUGCAAUGAUUUUUUUUUACUGCCAAUAUCUUGAGGUCACAAGUUAAUUAUUUUGUUAUCUCGAGAUAGCAAAACUCAUUUUAUUGUGAUUAUGGGUGAAUUUUUGUAGAUUCUAAAGAAAGCAAAAGGCAGACUUCUUGAGAUAAUGAGAUCAUUUAUCACGAAAAAUUUACUUUUGUUUCCCAGAGAUCAGCUACAGCAGGCUAUAAUGAUCAUGUGAUCUCGAGAAAACAAAACGUUUUCUUGUGAUAGAUUAGGCUAUUGUGUUAUCUUUCAAGAUCACAUGCUAAUUAUAGCCUACUGCGGUUAAAUGAGCCCUUGUCGAUUUUGAGAAAAACAAAUAUAUGAUGAAUUAUCUCUUUAUCUUGAGAAACUGGCGGAUUGUUUUCUCAAGAAUCAUAACAAAUUAACCCAUUAUCAUCAAAAAAUGAGCUUUGUCUUCAAGAAAUUGUCAAAUAAUUUACUCAUGAUCUUAAGAUAAUGGCAUUAAAAUAAUUGCAAGCACAGCCGUUUUCGGCUUCCGUACUAAACGAUGUCAUUGGGAUUUACCCAAAAUUCAAGUCACAUUGCUAGCCACUAAAAAGCAUUGAUGAUGACGCUUAAACUGCCACAAUUAUUUGCAGUGAUAACAGCUUUGAAUAGUGUUGUAGUAAUUACAUAAAACCAUACUAGUAUGAACCAGUAACUGUAAGAAUAUGUCAACACAAGCUGAUAAGCCAUAUAAAACAGUGGCAGGGUAUUUUUCUCUCCACUUGCCUUCUCCCCAGGUCUUCUCUUAUAACACUAAGUAUUACUCUAAUUGUUUCAGAAAACUGGCAAGUGCCAACACCAUACAGCUGAUGAGUAAGUCACAUCAUCAUCAUGUAUUGGGAAGUCUAACCAAUGCAGUUUCAGUGCUGUCUAAAACUUAGUGAAAAGCAGCAUCAUUCAAAAGUCGUCAUUAAUGGCAUUAUCAAGUUUACAAUUGUUUAGGUAAGCUGGGUGACGAUGGAUCACAGGGCUGCUGACUGAGAGAGGUCUCUCUAAAGAAACAUGAUGGGUGUUAUAAAACACCUCCCCACACGCACAGAUCACUCUGAAAAUCAGCUCAUAAUACAUAACUUGCACUAAUCUGUGUGGACAGAUUAAUCUUUUGGAGUCGUCCCAAACAUGUUGUGAACACACUGAAGAUUAGAGAUGACACGCCAUAUUCCUAAUUCUAAUCUGGUGCCAUUUGUUUUGCUUCAGAUAAAAUGAUAAAGGCUAAUCUCCCUGCUGUGCUGAACUGUUUUCUGUCAGUGCUGGGAUUUUUAAAAGCAAAAGGCCUGUUUUAAAAGCACACAUAAGAGCUGAUAGCAGCGUUAAGAGAAUGUGAUAGACAAAAUUUGAUCAGUUCAUGCAAUUAAUAAACGUGCACAUUUUCUUUACAAUCCACAUGCAGAAGGAUGAUGAGUAAUUUUGUUUUAUAUGUUGACUUUAAUGACAUUGAGAAUACUGAACCCAAACUGGAUGGUGGCAAUCUGUGUCUGCCAUAAUGCUGAUGUCAGGCUUUACUGUGCAUUUCGAGUGUGAUGUCAUCACCAAGAAAUGUGGAAUCCCCUGUGAGAUUUAGUUCUGUAACUCUGGCAAAGAUCAGGUCUUGUGGUCGUCUCAAAGAAUAGCAGUGAAUUGGAGUCAGCCAUGGAGGGACUGAAUCUGCACAACAAAGAGUAAAAAAUGGGAUCGAAUGUGAACACCUGUCUACAUUCAAUCAUCUGUGUCUUCCAGUUGAUGCUUUUGGCACUGACUGAAAGGCUGACAGUGCUUCCUCUUGGAAACCAUGAUUAUUUUAGAGUUUUUAAAGGUUACCCAUUUUGAAUUAUUGAAUAGCAGCAGGUGUUUCAACAGAGGUGGGAGAUGCUGCUAAAUUGGCCGCCAACCCUCUUGUAGGAUUUAUUCAUCUUAAGAAGGAUAGAUUCCCUUGAAGGCUGUAGUGCCCUUUGGUACUGAUUAAAUUAGUGCUGCCGCUAACAAUUAUUUUCAUUAUCAAUUAGUCUGUCAAUUAGAUCCUUGAUUAACCUUUUUAUCUAUAAAAUGUCAGAUAAAAGUGAAAGGUGACCUAUUUUGAUAGUUUUAUUCAACAAUCCAAAACCCCCAAAGAUGUUCAGUUUAUUAUCAUAUAUGACAAAGUAAAGAUUACAUCCCCACAUUUACUGAACCAGUACAUGUUUGGCAUUUUUAUUUGAAAAUUGACUUAAACAGUUAAUAGAUUAUCACAAAUAGUCUCUGAUUCAUUUUUCUGUCAAUUGACUAAUUGUCAGUUCUUGUUUAAGUUACUAUUUUGUUCUUUGGCAGCCAACCUGCCAGUCCUUAAAGGUCCAGUGCGUAGGAUUUAGUGGCAUCUAGUGGGGAGGUUAAUGAACUAAAACUUCUAUCAUGAUCCAAGUGUGUAAGAGAAGUACGGUGGCUAACGUGACAUGCAAAUGGACCUAUCUAGAGCCAGGGUUUGAUUUGUCCAUUAUGGGCUACUGUUCUGGGCCUCUGUGGUGACCCACUCUACUACCCAUAUGUAGAUAUAAACGGCUCAUUCUAGGGUAACAAAAACACAAAAAAAUCUUAUUUUUAGGUGAUUAUAAACUAACCAACAUUCUGGCAAUAGAUGCCCCUAAAUCCUUCACACUGGAUCUUUAAUUCUCUUUACUGCCAAUCUUGUGCAGCUUGGCAAAGUCAAGCAAGUAAAUGAUCUGUUUAAUUUUUAUAUGGAAAAAAAUAUAAAUUCCUUCAUUUGUUGAAUUCCUGGAUAAGUUUGUUUAAAAUCAGGUAUUAGUUCAUGAUUCAAAUUUGUGCCACUCACUGAAACCAAGUCAGCUGAUCCGAUAAUGCACUAUCUAUGAUGGGUAAAUAUCAGCAGAGGUGACAUUACACUAUUCUGUAACAGGGUUCGGCCCCCUGUACCCACGAUGCCUCUGAUGCAUCAGUGUUUAACAACAGCCAAAGUGACCCAUAGACAAAAAAAACAGUCAGAGAGCAGUGGAGUUGAAGCAAAAAAAAAAAAAAAUGAGCAGACUUGACUGUGAAGUGAAACACAAGCAGUAGCCAGAACCCCCCUGCACUGUUUCCAUGACCUCUCUGCUGCCAAAUAAGUGAGAAAUGGCCUCCUGGAAGCAGUCCUAUAAGAUGAGACAUGUCGGCCUAUCAAUAUAUCAUCAUAAAAUAACUUAUAAUGUGUGACUUUUUGCAUAUUCCUGUAGUCCAGUAUUCAUUUCACUUGCAAACUGUACAUACAGUAUGUGUAAAAACUCAUGAUGCCAAUAAAUCAGAUUUAUGCCUUCUAUCAUUACAGAAACAUGUCAUUAUUUCUAAAUCACCACUUCAGAACAACCUCACAAUGGUGCUUUUCAACAUAUUAGUGGCACAUUUAAAGGGACCGUUCACCCCCAAAUCAAAAAUGCAUAUUUUUCCUCUUACCUGUAGUGCUAUUAAUCAGUCUAGAUUGUUUUGGUGUGAGUUGCUGAGUGCUGGAGAUAUCAGCUGUAGAGAUGUCUGCCUUCUCUCCAAUAUAAUGGAACUAGAUGGCACUCAGCUUGUGGUGCUUAAAGUACCAAAAUAUUCAUUUGAAAGACUUGACAGCAAUGACUCUUUCCAGAAAUCAUGACUCAGUUACUCAAGAUGAUCCACAGACCUUGUUGUGAGCAGUUUCAUAUACAGAGUAUUUUCUACUGAACUACACCCGCCAACCGUGUCACAGUGUAAACGGAAGCAUGCAUCUACUGCUAGCUCACCUAGCACCACUGAGCUAACUAGUGUUACAACUCAGCUGAGGAAGAUCUCACACUGUCAAGCGUGAGCCUCUUGUCCAUUAGUAGAUGCUAAUUUCCUUAUGUGCAGUGAUAUGGUUAGUGGGUGUAGUUCAUUAGAAAGAAAGGUCUGUAUUUUUUGGCACAUUGAGCACCACAAGCUAAGCAUCUAGCUCCAUUAUAUUUGAGAGAAGGCAGACAUCUCGGCAACUCACACCAAAACAAUGUAGAUUGAUAACAGCACUACAGGUAAGAGGAAAAAAUACUUAUUUUUGACCUUGAGGUGAACUGUUCCUUUAAAAUAGCCAACGUGUCAAACAAGAGAGGUGGUGAUGCUGCAUCCUGUUAGAGAGUGAACACACGGCAAGUUUAAAGUUCAGCUGCAUGAAGAACAAACACUAAGGAUUUAGACGUGACUGCUGGCCAGUGCAUGUUUGAAGAGCAGAUGGGGCCCAUAAAGCAUGAGGGUUUAUCUGUGACGCACAGAGAAAUACUCAGACGAUGUUCUCAGUGUUUAUGGCCGUUUAUUGUCUGCAGUAUUUGGAGGUCAUCCUCUGAGCCACUGUGAAGGCUGAGAGGCUGCUAUUGAAAUGAGAUGUGUGUUAUUGAAUCAGACUGUGAAUGUGAAGCAGUUCGAGAAACUAGGUAGUAUGUAGUGAGGCAUAAAAAAUGCCCACCCCACCCCAUAUACUGAUAUAAAUAUAUUAAGAAAAAUAAAACUGCUGCUGCUACAACAGACAAUCAUGCACCACCAUCUGAAAUAAUAAUCGUAGUCAUAAAUACACGCAACAAAUUGCCAUUAUAAUUAAUACUGGUUCUAAUGUUGAAGUGUACUGCAGCUCUGCGUGUGUUGUUGCCACACCCCAGCAGAAGCCGUUGCUUCACUGCUGUGGGUGCAUUCAAGGACAAACACUAAACUGUCUCUCUAUUUUAUUACUUUCAAAUGUACUAAAAAGUAAAAAAAAAAAAAAAACUAAUAUGAAUGUUACAUCACUGUUGUUUUGUGAAGUGUAAGUGUGUCAAAAAAUGUUGCAAAAAAGGACAUAGUAUAACAUGUAAAAAAGUCUUGUGUAUGUACUUUUCCUGUGGCACUCUCAAUCAUAUGCUGGCUCCCUAAAAUGUAUGGAAAUAGAUUUCUGUCACUUUAAUUUGUGUGAGGAAAUCAACAAUCCGUGUGUCAGUGUGUGAUCUAUAAAUGUAAAACAACCUCCACAAAUACAAAGAAAGAUUUUAAACUCACAAAAAUAUUAUGCAAAUGUAAUACUGAUGUGCUGAUGUGAAAUGUAAAUCUGCAAGUGCAGAAUAGAGACUCACUUAUAAAAACUGGAUUCACAGAUAUCAGUUUGAAUGUUGUAAAUAUAAGGAAGCUAUUCACAAAUGCUUUCCAUGUAUUUGUACAUUUUGUAGAUAUUUUUUAAUUUGCGGAAUUUGUUUGUGUUUUUCAGAUCCAUUUUAUAUUUGCACAAUAGUUUUAGGAACUUACAGAUAUUUAUUUGUAUUUGCCAAAGGUGUUUUAUAUUUACAGAUCACACAUUUAAACAUGGGCUGUCGAUCUGUUCACACAAAUAAUAUUGAGAGAAAUCUAUCUCCAUAAAAAUGGCACUCAGUCAUCAAAACUUUGAGAAUCCCUUCAAAGUGCUCUAUAUGGUUAGUUUAGCUGUUUCUGAAAAAUGUCUCCCCACAAUUCCCACUGCAGGAGGCGCAGUUUGAACAUGGUCCCCCCAAUGUUAAAUAAGUUAUUACAGCCCUAUAGAGAGCAGGGUCAGCUUCAGGUGUUAUUUGUUAUCCGUAGAAAUAUCAGACAGGGUGGUAGUGGUCGUUCAUUAGGAACAGACAAGUCUUUAAUAAUCUUUUAGACCAUUAUAGCAGUCACACAAAAUAUUCAGCACUUCCUGCUGAUACUGUAGGUAGAACACAACAGUUUAUAACCCAACAUGCAGCUACAAUAAAUAUUUACUUUAUAGACUUAAUAUUUGAGCAGCAGCUUAGUGCUGAUAACAAAGCCACUCUGACGUGUCAAUGUUUCACAAGACCACUCUAAAAGCAGGUCAUAAAAGAUCCUGCCCUCAAUGACUGUAGUUCUUGAAAACUGUUUCUUCACGCACCAAGAACACACAACAUUUUAGAUUUCAUUACCAACUCUCUUUAUUGCUCUUUGUUCCAGAAUCAAUACCUUACUGGUGUCUCAAAAAUAAUGCAGAUAUUGAGAACUUAUGUUUAGGGAGGUGAUUUGAUACUAUGAGGUAAACUAUAAAAACUCACUAUAUCACACACAGAAAUACAAUGUAACAAUCAUGUAAAUGCAUUCAGUACCAAUAAUGAUAAAUGUCUAAAUCUGCCAUUUGUUUUGGGAGUGUUGUUUGGAUGUGUCAGAGAAUUCUUUCUUUCUUUAUCCAUCUAAAAAAAGAAAAAUACAGGAAACAGACAAAAACUACAGAAACAGAGACAAUAUAUCAUCUGAAUGAGAACAAGUGACCAAACUGCAGAAAUACAGAUAAUAUUGAUCCACGUCACAUCAACAAACACCCACAGGAAAUGUAAUAAAGCACUCAGCGGUGAGAUAAUUUCUCCUCCCAUGUCCUCGUGUUAAUGCUGCUGUGCGGCAGGUUCCUUGCAAUUGCAGCAGCAGUUAUUCAACUUAUGUAAAAGAAAAA